UUAGUUUAGUCAGUUUAGUAUGCAAAACAAUUAAACACGUGAUAGAGUGUAAAGCUAUGGGUGUCCUGAUUGUACUAAGGUGGCAGUCUGCAGCUUACUGGCCUUUAUUAUUUGAAGAUAACAGUUUUACAGGGAAAAACUAUGUUAAGGAUGUCUUAGAAUUUUGUGACAGAAAAAGAUAUGUUGAUGGUAAAAAUAAAAGAUCUCUUUUUGGUUCUAGAAAGUUUAAGGGAUUUGUUUUGGCAGUUAAACUUGAUUCCAGAUCAUUGAAAUAAUUAUCACGUUAAAUUUGUAAUUAAGUAUUACCGGAAGGACUAUUUAAUUUCAUGGGUAGACGGUCGGAAGGACCAAAGUCUGGCCGGAAGGGCCUCAGUCUGGCCGGAAGGGCCUAAGUAUGGCCGGAAGGGCCCAAGUAUGACCGGAAGGGUCAGGACAUAUGCUUAUGUGAAAAAAAAAAAAAAAAAAAACCUAUUUCUGCAGAAAUUAUUGGAUAUAUGUUUUUAUUACAUGACAAAGAUAAUUGUUCUUUAUAUCAUUUAAUAUCAGUUGCAAUUGUAAUCAUAGGGUUUUCAGGAUUUUUGAGGAUCGAAUAACUGUUAAAUUUUAGAUGUACUGACGUUACAUUCAAUGAUGAUUACUUAAGUUUGUACAUACGGUCUAGUCAAACUGAUCAGUUAAGUCGUGGUUCUUCAGUUGUUAUUUCAAAAUCAACUGGUGUUACAUGUCCAUAUACAUCAUUAAAACUUUAUUUUUCAAAGGCUGAUUUAUCAAACGAUAGUGAAGAGCAUGUUUUUCGGGCUUUAUCUUCGUGUAAGAAAUCUAACUCUUUUAGAUUAAAGAAAGGAGGUUGCUUAUCUUAUACUCGAGUUAGGGAACUGUUACGUGAGAUGCUUGUCGAAGUAGGCUUAAACCCUAAUGAUUAUGGGACUCGCAUUUUAAAACGCGGUGGCUCUACCGCCAGCGCUGUUUAUAAUGUAUGUGAUAGACUUUUUAAAAAGCACGGGGAUGGAAAAGUGAGCAUGCGAAGGACGGUUAUGAGUCUGAGGAUAUUAAUUCGAUUCUCAGCGUUUCUAAAAAUCUAGGAUUGUAAUUCAGUUUCGUUUCAGUUAAUAGCGUUAUUUGUCCCGUACUUUAAAAUUCGACGCUGGAACAAUCGCUCUUAGCCAAUUGCAUAUAAAUUGUUUAUUUGUUUUGUUGUAGUGUAGUACAUGUAAGUUGAAGGGCUUAAGCUUGUAAAUGAUUUAUGCUCGGUUGAAAGAAUUGAAUUAGAGCAUAAAUGUAUUUACACACGUUGCCAGGCAACUUACCGCGUACAUGGUUGAGCGGGGUUAUGAUUGUCGCCUGUGUUUGAUUUUGGCGGGGAUGUGCACGUGAAAAGUAUGAUACAUGUAUAUGUACUAUAGUUUCAGAUUCUGAUGUAUGAUAUGCCAGGAAUGCUUGUUUAAAAAAAAUAGAUGUUUCGGGGGACGAGAAGACGUCCAUGCUGGUCUUGAGCCACAGGAUCUUCCCACCUCCCCCUCCUAAAAAUAAGUAAAAGGAGUUAGGGUUGGGUGGCCUGCUCGCAGCAUCCCGAUUUAAGAGUUCAUGAAUAUAUUAUAUGAUUGUAUUUUUGUAUGUGUAUACUUUAUUGUAAAUUCAAACAUUGAAUAAAGGAGUGAUUAUUAUUUAAAUUUAUGAGGCAUUUUUCUUUUCUCGUUUUUGUUUUUGUAGAACAAUUAAAGUAACAGGGUCAUUUUAUCAAAUUACUAAUUAUCUUUAAUCAUGUGCCGAAAACAUGUGUCUAACAGUCAAGUUUUCUUUGUGAAUUAGAUUUUUCAAUUAAAGAUGUUAUGUUAUUUGUUGUAUGGGUUUCCAUUUUUGUUAGUUAACGACCUAUAUGCCUGUCAUGAAUGACAUCUAAUGAGUAAAUAUGUUUGUUGUUUUUUUUUUUUCGUUUUUUUUUUUCGCUGAAUGAUACGAAAUCAGUUUGACAUGUCAUUUGUUAAUCUUUUGUGUAUAAUGUCAUAGUGGUUUUGAUACGAAUAAGUUCUGUUUCUUUCUGUGUAUAAAAUCGUCAAAUAAACGGCUGGAACAACCACUCUUAGCCA